GAAAGAGAUUGUUCAUAAUGGACCCUAUACAAAACAAUGAAGGUCGUACGCCAUUUGCAGACUUGACAAACUCCAUUAAUGGAGCUGUUCAUACAUCAUCAAAUUCACAAGUGCAAGCUGAUGAACGUGUGCAACGUAAAAGGGAAAGAGAAAAGGCAAGACAUGCAAGAACAAAGGGAUGAAAAAAAUAAAAAACGUAGAGAAAAAUAUCAUAAAAAAGGCAGAAACUUCACUAGCUGCUGGGUCCAGAGGUCCACCGUAUUCUAAUUUUCCGUUUUUGAAUUUUGUAUUACCAUUUUUUUCGUUUAUGUGAGACAUAGUAUUGUAUAUCACCUACUUGUAUUAGUCAUUUGUUUGCUUAUUUAGAAUAUAAUUAUGUUGUACCAGAUGGAUUUAAAUCAACCACGGAAAACACCAAUGGCUAUGAAGAUAGUGACCGGCUACAUCGAGACAAUUCAUAUAAACCCGUUUCGAGUGAUAAAGAAAACACAUAUAAUUACUCCGAUAGAUGUGUAGAUCAAAGUGGCAUGCUUGACUUGACUGUUGCAUCACCUGAUCUAAACCCAGGUACAUUAUUUUUUUAUUAAUGUUAUCUAUUUGAGAAGAAAAAAUAGAGUGGC